GGUCUUAAAGUCAAAUUGAUAUUAAAUUGCAAAUUUAAAGAAGGUUAUACAUUAAACCUAAGGCUU
rnacentral:tRNA from 1 species